AGUUAGUUGAGAUCUCUGUUCAUGUAAUGAGAAUAUAGCCGCUUAUCCUAAAUACACUUUUUUGAAGAGAUGAAUAGAUUUGUUCUCUGAUUUUACUGGUGUUACCACUGGCAUUGCAGAUAAGAAAACUGGUUUGGUACUUACUACUCUGGGUUGUUUUUUUUGUAUCAAUAGAAUGUAUAGGGAUUUAGCUUUCUUUAAUCUCUUUAAAC